AAGAGGCUGGCUCUGUUUAUGUCUACUAGUGUCAGUGUCUGAGCUUCUUCGAGAGGCAGCGGAUCUGCAUGGAGGAAUAGAGUACUGUAAUCAAGAAAGUUCACAAGUUCAUUUUAACUUUGUUUCCAAAGUUGAGAGACGAGGGCGGGUUCGAGCUGCUGAAAAUUCCUGGAACUACACAGAGCCAUCAUCUUAUACCUGUCCCAUGCCCCAAUCGGGGCUACAGUUUGAGAUAUCUGAAAGACCCUUGUGUCGUGCUACUCUACAUUCGCCCGCUGUAAAGGAAAGUCUCAUUUCUCAGUUUAUGCACUUUUAAUGAACUUUAGAGCACUUACUAAUCCAAAGUAGAUAUGUUGAGUGUUAAGCAAUAUUUACAACCGAUAAUAACAAAAAUCUAUAGAUGAUAAGUGUCUUCUCUGGUUUUUGUAUUUAUUUAUGUAAUUUUCUCAUCAAUUAGGAACUGAAUGAUUCAGUUGUUGCUCAAAGUGGAUCAUUGACACAAUGCCUAAACUGUGAAGAACAACUUUACUUUGCACAAAUAAGAAGGCACAGUGAAGCCUGCUCCAGGUAAUGCUCUGAAUGGGAAAUGAAUCAUGGUGAUGUUGGCAAAAUAUGAUAUUCUCCAUUUAUGGAAGGUGCACUCAUCAUUACAAAUGAUGGUAUGGCCAUGUUGCACAUCAAUAACAGAACACUUAAGUAGUUUGAUAAUUUGUUAGUUUAGAUGUGGAAAAGGUACAAUUUAAUUGAGCUGUUCUGGGUGUUAACUUCUUGGUUCAUUGUUGCUGUACAUUUCUUUAUGAUAAAGAUGAUAAUUACAACACUUCACUAUCAGGCUAUCAGCUGUUGUAGAGGGGAGUUAUGAAGAUGUUCUGUUUAGAUAACUGUUAGUAUCUGAUAUACCUAACUCCUCGGCUCAACUCUUCAAGUCAAUCACAGGUUGAAAGGGCGGGGGAGAAUGAAAGGGAGAAUGACGGUGCAGCUGUCCCUAGAGCCGGUGGGACAAGUUCCUCCACCGGUCACCAUCCAGUUGUAGAUUUGGCAAUGGAGGUGUGUCUGGAGACAGGUUCAGAUGAGGGUUUAUAUUCUGAAGGUUUACAGAUCAGUUUUAAGGGAUUGGUAAUUUAGCACGUCUUAGGGCUAGUUAUUAAUGUUAAUGUACAAUUUUCAGGUGUAGUACUUUCUAUAUGAUACAUUUAGUUGUAUUCAAUCGUCUUUCUUUACAAACACUUACAUUCAAUGCACUAACACUCACCUCGUGAAAAUGGUGUGGACAUAAUGAUGCAUACUGAUUAUUUUAUAUUUUUAUUAACAACAGCAAGUUCAUCUGGCACUUCAGCAGCAAGUGGUCCAGUAUACAUCGUUGAUGUUACAGAACCAAACCCGGUCAAGGCAGCUCAGCUGUUCACAUACUGGACACUUCAGUCCAACAAGGGCAAAGACCACCUGACCUUGAGUUUGAGGGAUUCCUUAGUGGAAAGGAACAGGGCCAUAAUCCUUUUCUCACAAUGGCAUCCAAUGGCUAGGUUUGCUGAGCUUGUGUAACUCUACAUUGACUGAUUUCAAAUAUGUUUACAAGGUGACUCUGCCAUUGGAGAGGGGGUCACCAGGUAUGUCCUGUCCACUGUCAUGGAGAAUCUUUAUAGACUUGUAGAUUAUGUGAAACAGUUUUCCCCUAGGUCAGUCAAAAAGAGAACUGUUUAUUUAAGAAGACCUUGAUCUUUGAGGGUGAGCAGGACCAUUGUGUUCCUUCCACAUCUCAGGCACUUUUGGAAAGUCUUUUUUUUUUUUUUUUUGAGUAGCUGGGUGCAUGAUUGGGCACUUAAAAAAAAAUAUAUAUAUUACUUAUUUAUUUAAAUGGUGACCCACACCUUGCAGGACUAAGCCCUGCUAUCAUACAUGGACUGUUUGGCAGAGAACCAGAGACGGCACCGAUAACCUUAUCUGACUGCGUGGACCACCAUGUCCGGGAUGUCAUCCAGUUGGUUCGGAGAAACAUUUUUAUCUUUUGUGUAUAUAUAAAUAUAUAUAUGUUUUUUUGUAGAUUUGUCAGAGGUCCUGAAGAGUGCUUUUUUUUUUUUACCCUGAAGCUGUCAAAAAAUACUAUGACUUAUGAGGAUUUUGAAAAUGAUCUGAUGGCAAGCAUCUCCUCAUCCUACUCUGGGUUUGGUCCGUUUUGAUUCAAAGCCCUGCAGGAAGACACAAUGUUCACAUCCGCUCAAAAGUUUUGUGACGCUUUUUAUUGUUAUUUGAUAUACUUUAGUAAACAGUGAUACAGACACUUUGAUAAAGUGGCUUACAUUUUACAUUCUAACGGUUAACCAAAAAAAUGAAAGCUGUACACUUUGAAAGAUUAGAGAGCUAGAAUGAAGGUAGUGACAGCCUAGGAACAGUGGGUUAACUGCCUGUUCAGGGGCAGAACGACAGAUUUGUUGACCUUGUCAGCUCGGGGAUUUGAACUCGCAACCUUUCGGUUACUAGUCCAACACUAAUCACUAGGCUACCCUGCCACCCCAAUUCCCAAUGGCCUUGCAGGCAGAUGCAUUCUAGAUAGAUCCUAUUGGAGGAGGAACCUGAAGCUGAGGGGCCAGUUCAACGGCCUACCCUCCAUAUAUACUCCCAUUAUCCCUAUUUAAAAGGUUUCCUCAGGGAAGUGCCUAGGCAGUCAAGCAGCAGAAGAGAAAUGUGCCUUUUAGAAGCUCAGAGUAGUUGGCUAAUCCAAAUUGAUGGCCACAAACAGAGGGAAAUAAUUGCUGGUUUUAAAUCAAAUAAAAAUUGAAAGGAAUUUCUAAGAAAUUGUGAUAUUAAUGCACUGCCUCAUUUCUAUAUUGGAUAAAGGAAUUAAGUACAUGAGGACAAAUAUUGAGUUGGUAUGUGUUCUGGGUCCCUCAAAGAAACCAGUGCUAAUUGAGACUAACAUCUCCUCUUUAUAGAUGGCAAACAAUUUACUUUUGAAGCCAGGUGGAGUUUUCCAACUGUGGGAAACAUACUUUAUUGGGGAAUAUUGUGUGGUAUAUCAGAAUUCCCAUGCACUUGUUCUAUGCCUGGCUGCACUACAAGGUGAACUGUAAGGCAAGUUACCCUCAAACUGUACAAGAGACUGAAAAAAAAAAACUGAUGGUUCAUCUGAUGUUUGAAUAUUUUUGAUAUAUCUACAACAUAUCCACUCUGUAUGACUGCAUUUACCCUGAAAUAUGUUUUCCACCACACUGAGGGAGAAGGUGUCUCAACUGGCCAAUCAACGUUAGGGGUGCCCUUGACAAACGAGGCCCAUCGCUCCUCCAGUUUAACUUGACCUUCACCUUCCUGCAGCUUUGCUGGAUCCAUUUUGCGCUCGUUUUCUGCAAUAAAGCGCCUGAUGUAUAUUAA